UACGGGGGGGGCAAGCGUUGUUCGGAAUUACUGGGCGUAAAGCGCGCGUAGGCGGCUUUGUAAGUUAGAGGUGAAAGCCCAGGGCUUAACCCUGGAAUUGCCUUUAAGACUGCAUCGCUAGAAUUGUGGAGAGGUAAGUGGAAUUCCGAGUGUAGAGGUGAAAUUCGUAGAUAUUCGCAAGAACACCAGUGGCGAAGGCGGCUCACUGGCCUGGUACUGACGCUGAGGCACGAAAGCGUGGGGAGCAAACAGG
rnacentral:rRNA from 1 species